CCAGGAAGGAGGAGGCAGCCAGAGUGUUCUCUGCAGCAGAAGACCCCUUGCUGCCCUGCUUAACCCAGACCAGCAUUUGCCAGGGGACGGAAGAUGAUGGUGCAAAGCCAGUGGAUCUGUGAAACAUCUAGCAAGUCAUGAGACUUGACUGGCCAUCUGCUGCGCUUGGCUUAGUGGCCACAAUUAUACAGGCCAGCCUUAGGAGAGAAGCCCUGGGUUUAUCCAAAAAGAAGAGGAUUUCUUGCCUGAACCCCAUUUUACCCAUGCACGCACACCCUGUGCCAAGCCUUCUGCUUCUCAAAAACGCUGUUACCCAAAAUUACUGAGAGUCUUUUCCAAGUAGUAUAACACCGGUGUGAAUAAGUCUCCCUUCACAUCUCAAAAAGUCUUAGAACCCAGAUGUUUGUGAUGUCCCUGUUGCCACUUGGAGAAAAGACAUGGCCAUGUUGUCCCCUUAUGUGUGCUCAGUGAUUAAUUUCAGUUUGGAUCCCUGCCUGCAGGAUUGCCAACCUUUUUACUGGCCUGGCUCCUAUGCCUUUAAAAAUGGCUUGACAUAUAAAUAUUAAGCAGAUGGAGCUUUUGCUGUCAUGGAAACGAAGAGAUGGGAAAAUCUUUACCAGUUUAAUUUCUACAUGCCAGGUUUCUUCUAAAGACUUAGGAGAAGGAUUAGUUAAGAGUCGGUAACUCUGCCUGCUGGUGCCCCAUUCCUACCACUGGGGCCUGGGAGUCCCAAAAGACCUGUAUAAAUUCAAAAAAAUGGCAGUUGCUAUGCUGGAUCCCCAGGCCAGGUAUGUUUACCUGGUCACCAUGGUGCUGUGAUUCCAAUGGAUUGUGAUGGGGCUGGAGGUUCCGCUACUGCCAUUGGACUCUCUAGACUCAGCCGUUGGCAGGAGGACUUUCUGGUCUCUCCUGUCCUCGCACCAUUUUUUCAUCCUAUUUGGCUGAACAUGGCCUCAAGGAAUGCUGAACUUGGAGUGCUGAACAUGGCCUCAAGGAAGGAGUUCAGGAUGGAUUUCUGCUCUCCUCUCUCCUUUGUCCUCUCUCCUGGGAAAAGGAUAACCAUUACUUCACGGUGUGGGCAUCCUCAAAGAGGAAAUUCCUGUGGCUCCCCUCCGCUGUGGUAGCUGUACGAGAGUUCAAGGGUGCAGCCACCACCACCCCACAACCAUUUUCCUUGAUCGUAUGACCCAUGACAUUCUGCAAUUACAGCAGUGGCCGCUGGUGGUUCCUUGGAUGGGAGUCCAGAAGCCACAAAGAUGGCUUGUCAACAGGCUGCUGAACACCUGCACAUUGGGAAAGUCAUCGUCUGCAGAAGUCAGGAAUGAACAUCCAUUUCUUCACAUGGAUAGGCCGUGGGGUUGUGAAGCCUCAUUACAGAAAUGCUUCCUGUCCUGAAAGUCUUGAUUCUCUUCUUGAACUACAGGCCCAGAAGUCCUCUUGUACUCUCCCGCAGUGCUCAGAUCUUCUUCGUUUCUGG